GACGAACGCUGGCGGCGUGCCUAAUACAUGCAAGUCGAACGCUUCUUUCCUCCCGAGUGCUUGCACUCAAUUGGAAAGAGGAGUGGCGGACGGGUGAGUAACACGUGCGUAACCUACCCAUCAGCGGGGGAUAACACUUGCUAACAGGUGCUAAUACCGCAUAACAGUUUAUGCCGCAUGGCAUUAGAGUGAAAGGCGCUUUCGGGUGUCGCUGAUGGCUGGACCCGCGGUUCAUUGGCUAGGUGGUGAGGUAACGGCUCAUCAAGGCCACGACGCAUAGACGCCCUGAGAGGGUGAUCGGCCACACUGGGACUGAGACACGGCCCAGACUCCUACGGGAGGCAGCAGUAGGGAAUCUUCGGCAAUGGACGAAAGUCUGACCGAGCAACGCCGCGUGAGUGAAGAAGGUUUUCGGAUCGUAAAACUCUGUUGUUAGAGAAGAACAAAGACGUUAGUAACUGAGCAUCCCCUGACGGUAUCUAACCAGAAAGCCACGGCUAACUACGUG
rnacentral:rRNA from 1 species